rnacentral:sRNA from 12 species
UGCCUAAUCCCACCGGUAAACGGUGGGCACGGCAUAAAAAACCGAUCAAGGACUGUAAGCCUCUCGUGAGAGCAUCCUUGAUCGGUUAUCGGCCGAAAGGUCGGUAGGUGACGUAAGUCAUC